UUGGGAGCUCUCCCAUAUGGUCGACCUGCAGGCGGCCGCGAAUUCACUAGUGAUUCGUAUUACCGCGGCUGCUGGCACGUAGUUAGCCGGUGCUUAUUCUUACGGUACCGUCAUGGACCCUCUUUAUUAGAAAGAGUCUUUUCGUUCCGUACAAAAGCAGUUUACAACCCGAAGGCCUUCAUCCUGCACGCGGCAUGGCUGGAUCAGGCUUUCGCCCAUUGUCCAAAAUUCCCCACUGCUGCCUCCCGUAGGAGUCUGGGCCGUGUCUCAGUCCCAGUGUGGCUGGUCGUCCUCUCAGACCAGCUACAGAUCGUCGGCUUGGUAAGCUUUUAUCCCACCAACUACCUAAUCUGCCAUCGGCCGCUCCGUCCGCGCAAGGCCUUGCGGUCCCCUGCUUUCAUCCGUAGAUCGUAUGCGGUAUUAGCAAAGCUUUCGCUCCGUUAUCCCCCACGAUCGGGCACGUUCCGAUGUAUUACUCACCCGUUCGCCACUCGUCAGCAUCCGAAGACCUGUUACCGUUCGACUUGCAUGUGUAAGGCAUGCCCCCAGCGUUCAAUCUGAGCCAUGAUCAAACUCUAAUCGAAUUCC
rnacentral:rRNA from 1 species